AUUUCAGUAUGAAUUUGAUCUAGCAGUGUAAACCUGAGAU
rnacentral:sRNA from 1 species